rnacentral:rRNA from 1 species
CAGGCUGCAACUCGCCUGCAUGAAGUUGGAAUUGCUAGUAAUCGCGAAUCAGAAUGUCGCGGUGAAUACGUUCCCGGGCCUUGUACACACCGCCCGUCACACCAUGAGAGUCGAUAACACCCGAAGCCUGUGAGCUAACCGCAAGGAGGCAGCAGUCGAAGGUGGGGUUGAUGAUUGGGUGAAGUCGUAACAAGGUACC